rnacentral:lncRNA from 10 species
UGGGGACUGGCCCAGCAUUUUAAACUUAAUCCAGGCCAUGGCCAGCUGGACCCUGAGAUGGUGCUAUCUGAGAAAGCCAAUGGGAGCACCCUCCGGGGGUGCACAGAGGAAAGGACGCUCAGCCUGACCUUCCCGAGGCUGUCCGUGCCAGCGGCUCCGCGUGAGGGAGGGGCCCGCUCCUGCUUGGUGAGAGAGUCAGCACGCGGUGGCCUGGGUGAACUGUCACCCCUACAACUCAGCUUGCAACCAGCCCUGGCCACCACCAGUUUCCCCACACUGAGCUGAAUAUUGGACAUGCCCAUCUUAGACAUUCCAGCCCAUUCUGAAAUUCCACAUCGAUUCACCCGACAAAGUCUGAAGUUCCAGGGCAAUUUAUCUGGAAAAGCUCACCUGGAAUCAUGUGUCAUUUCAACCAACAACUGUUGAAGAGGACGUGGCAUCAAAACCAAGGUUAUCAAUUAUUUAUAAGGGUUGUGUGGUGGUUGGUCCAAGCAUCUCUCCUUCAUGCCAUCACUCCUUUCAAGAGCUGCCUCUAUUUUCUAAUUUAGCACAGGAAUUUAGAUGCCCCUAAAUAAGUAGGCAUCCAGUAUCUGCCCACACCAGUUUUAGUGAGAGUACAUAUGGAGACACUACCACCACCCCUGCUCUCCUACUGCAUACCCCACCAUGCCAAAGCAUGGUGGCUCACACCUGUAAUCCCAGUGCUUUGGGAGGCCAAAGAGGAGGAACACUUGAGGCCAGAAGUAUGAGACCAGCCUGGGCAACAUAGUGAGACCUCAUUUCUAUAAAUAAG